AUGGCGCUGAAGCGGGUAGCCGACACCACGCCGUCUGGGCAAAGUGGACCUCAGAUGAGUAGGAGGGCGUGGCGGUUGUAUCGAAACGUGGAUGCGAAUCUGCGUGGAACAGCCGCUAGUGCAGAUCUUGGUGGUAGUAGCAAAUAUUCAAGCGAGAUCCUUGAAGGGCGAAGCGGGGAAGGGUUCCACGCGAACAUUGAUUGGGCGUGGGUGAGUCGUUCCUAAGCCGCGUGGCAAUGGCUAAUUACCGGCGAAAGGGAAGCAGGUUGACAUUCCUGCACACGGAUGUGGAGACGGCGACGAUACAUGAGGCGAUCACGCUGGCGGUGGCGCUGGGCAGAGUUUUCUUUUCUGUUUGACCAACAUGCUUGCUGUGUGGAAUCCGCUUGUCGGGAGAAACACGCACGCACGGGCAGAGCGCCGGGGCUUUUCCGGCGUCCAGCUCGCCACCGACGGCCCUUGAAAAAUUGCCUGCUGGACAACGCUUUUGUGUUGUGAGAUCCACGCCGUGGCGUACCGAUAACCGCAUCAGGUCCCCAAGGUGAACAGCCUCUGCUCAGUAUGAACAAUGCAGGUAAGGGAAGUCGGCAAAUUGGACCCGUAACUUUGGGAAAAGGGUUGGCUCUAGUGCUGCGUGGGAGUAGUUGUCGGUUGUUGGCGCUGUUAGAGAUGCGUGCGCGGUGCGUUUCCCGCAAGGGUUAUGUGCUGCGCUGCGUCUCCGUCAGUGCUGCUCCGACGACGCCCACAGCAUGCAGCAGACUAGAACUGCAACGGGCAAAGGGAAUCCGACUGUUUAAUUAAAACAAA
rnacentral:rRNA from 1 species